UGGGAGGAAGCCCCUUCACCUGAUGUCAAGGGGAGCUGGUGGCCGGGGUUUUACCACACAGCCCUUCAGCAUCACCCCUGAGGUCACGUGGGUGAGCAAUGCCUCAGUGGGCUGGGGGUAAGAGGUGCCUCAGUGGGGGCCGGGGGGUGUGAGUGGUGCCUCAGUGGGCCGGGGGUGAAUGGUGCCUGCACAGCUGUGCGGGGUGUGCCUGGGUGGGUAGUGGAGCUUCCUCAGCAGAGAAUGGGGUGUGGGGAUCUCAGGGCUGCAUUCCCAGACUCUGCAGAGAGUGAACUCUGGAGAGUGAGGCCCUGGGGUUCUGUUGUUCUCUGGGAGGAAUGGGGUUGGGGCCCUCGUCAGCAGGGCCCAUGGGCACCACAGUGAGACCCUGGGCUGCCUCCACACGAGGACUCACCUUCUCCCCCUUGGGGCCAUCGCUGCCUGGGCUGCCCUUGGUGCCGGGGUCUCCCCUGCGCCCCUGCAGAGAACAGGCGUGUGGGUGAGGGAGGGGGCUGAGUCCAAGCCCAGAGCCUGUGGAGGGUGGGGGCUGUGCCGGGGCCGAUGCUCCUUCUCUACAGGAGGGCUCUGGCUUUGGGACCUGGGACCUCGAUCCCCAGGCUCCUUCCCAACAGCCUCAGCCUGCGCCAGUGGCUCUGCUGCCAGCCCUCGUCCCUCUGCUGCGUCGGUCCCGCCCAUGCCGAGGAUUUAGGAAUGAUCUGGGGAGGCUCCAGGUGGAGUUGGAUGUCUGAGCCCAAUGCGGCACCAUGGUGACAGCAGAGAUGGUGGCCAGCGUGACUGUUCAUCUGGGCCAUGGGCGUGAGUGUGGCCAGCUCAGCUGCAGGCGAAGAGGCAGAGGGGCUCACCUUGCUUCCCUUGGCCCCGAUUUCUCCCGGGGGCCCUCUGCGUCCUGGGCGGCCAGGGUCCCCCUGGAAGGGUUUGCAGAAUCAGCCUCACGUCUUUUGGCAGGGGAAGGGGGGUGCAGGAUGCCCGCUGCGGGGGCAGGACCCACGGUCGGGCUUGGGACUGCACCUCCCUGAUGUCCACGGGGCACCUGGGAUGCCAGAUGCUGGCUGGGGGCUGCUGGAACCUCCGUGCCAGCUGAGGGCAGAGUGUGUGUCACGGGCAGGACGCCUGUGCAUCUGCUCAGAGGACUCAGCCAGACUUGGGCUUGGGCUGAGGGAAGGUGGACAGAAAGUGGGAAGCCCUAAGUCCAAGCUCCCAGAAAAAAGCCCUUGGGGAUCCUGGGGCCGCCAGGGGCGGGGCGACACUGCAGGCGGCCCAGGAGGGCAGAGCCCCUGGGGCACCAACGUUCCCAUGGGGAGCUCCAGGAGGUGUGGGUGGGGCUCCCUGGGGCUCCACCUGGGAGGAGGUGGGUUUGUUGCCGAGGCCUCGGUGAGCAGCGGCGGGGCCGCCCAAGCCCUGGUUAGAAGCUGAUGAAGCAACGGGCAGGGCACCCUCCACCACAUCCCACGGCCAUUGGCUCCUCACUGACCAGUGUUUCCAGAAAGGCCCUCUCUGCUCAGCUUCUCAGCUGGGGCUGCCUCCAGGAGGCCCCUGGAAGCUGGUGACCCCGCCUGCCCCGUACCCUGACAAGGCCACUUACCUUGCCGCCUUGGUCUCCUCGCUCCCCUGGACUCCCUGCUUCCCCCGGGUAACCGUCGGGGCCCUGAGAGAGGAGUGAGAGGUGGAGCUCGGCACACGGCGGGUGGGGUUCUCCCCAUGAGCCAGGGCCCAAGUGCUCCAUUGUCCCAGCCCGGGACGCACCUCCCACCCUCACUGUGAGGCCCAGGCUCAGUGACCAAGAGGCCAGGCCUGGAUCUGCUGCUCAGGGAAAUGGAGCUGUCCAGUGACACCGAAGUUUGGGAUGCAUCAGGUCUCCAGGCCACGGGGAUCCGCCAGGAGCUCCCAGGGGGAGUUCCUCACAUGACUCCGACCCGGCAGAAUGCUGGGCUGGGGCUGCUGGGCUGGGGCUGCUGGGCUGCCGGGAGAACCCACGCUCCCACUGCAGCAGCAACUACCCUCCCACCCGGUCAGGCACCCACACCCCCUGGGCCGAGGCUGAAGGAGGGGUGCAAACGGCCCUUACCCGGUUUCCAGGGUCUCCCUUGCAGCCAGGAGGUCCGAUGCGCCCCAGCUUGCCCUGAAGGAGAAGGGGGCAGGAGGAGUCUCAGGGCGGGGUUCUGGGGUCCAUGUGUGCCAACGACCAAGACACAGCCCACCCGGUUCUGCCCCGCAGGGCUGCAGCGCUCUCCUCCUGGCACACGGGUGCCCACAUGAGGCCACGGCUGCUGUGGAGCUGUCUCCGGGGAGGCAGAGUGGCCGUUGUGCAGGAACAGGCCAUCCCUGGCUGCCUCCCAGAGGCCCUGAGGGCAGAGCUCCCUGGGCACAGAGGAUGUUCCCACGGGGAGCCAUGGAAGGAGUGGGUGGGGCUGUCCUGUGGUUUGACCUGGGAGUGGGUAGGCUUGUUGCUGGCCUCUGUGUGCAGCUGUGGAGCUGCCCCAAGCCGGGAUGUGCAGCCAUGAAUUAGAUGCAGGCUGGUGAAGCCCUGGGUGGGGCAGUGGGAUGUGGCAGGAGCUGAAGUUCGUGUGUGUGUGUGUGUGUGUGUGUGUGUGUAUGCGUGUGUACACAUGUGUAAGCUGACAGAUCAGGCUGGAUCUGGGGGCCCUGCAGAGGCUGGGAUGCCUCUGUGAGACCAGUCCAGCUGUGAGCCCGAGGCUCCCUCUACCUUCUGUCCAUCGGUCCCGUUCUUGCCAGCCAGGCCAGGGGCCCCCUGAAGAGAGAAGGAAGAGGGAACUCCAUUAGCCCCGGUCCUUCUGCCCUGAGCAGCAGGAAGGAGGGGCUCUGCCUACCCAGCCAGCCUACCUUGCGACCGUCGGCUCCAAAUUCACCCUGUGUAGGAGGAAAGCCGGCGCAGUGAGCUCGGUGCCUCAAAGCAUCAUGGGCACUGCUGCCUCUGGGGGGCAAAGCCCUUGGGCCAAACUCAAGGCCACAGGACCCCCCAGGAGCCCCCAAAGCCACCACUGAG
rnacentral:lncRNA from 1 species